CCGGGCAGCUAAGCCGUUUAGGCUAAGUGCUGAAAGCAUCUAAGCACGAAUCCUAUCCCGAGACAAGUUAUUCUUUCGUAAGAUGAAGGUCGGCAGCAAAAUACUGCGUUGAUAGGAAGGUGGUGUAAAUCACAAGCUUCGGCGAGUGGUGAGCCAGCCUUUACUAAUAGACCAACACAUCAGUUCA
rnacentral:rRNA from 1 species